AGAGUUUGAUCCUGGCUCAGAUUGAACGCUGGCGGCAGGCUUAACACAUGCAAGUCGAGCGGAAACGAUGAUAGCUUGCUAUCAGGCGUCGAGCGGCGGACGGGUGAGUAAUACUUAGGAAUCUACCUAGUAGUGGGGGAUAGCUCGGGGAAACUCGAAUUAAUACCGCAUACGACCUACGGGAGAAAGGGGGCAACUUGUUGCUCUCGCUAUUAGAUGAGCCUAAGUCGGAUUAGCUAGAUGGUGGGGUAAAGGCCUACCAUGGCGACGAUCUGUAGCUGGUCUGAGAGGAUGAUCAGCCACACCGGGACUGAGACACGGCCCGGACUCCUACGGGAGGCAGCAGUGGGGAAUAUUGGACAAUGGGGGCAACCCUGAUCCAGCCAUGCCGCGUGUGUGAAGAAGGCCUUUUGGUUGUAAAGCACUUUAAGCAGUGAAGAAGACUCCAUGGUUAAUACCCAUGGACGAUGACAUUAGCUGCAGAAUAAGCACCGGCUAACUCUGUGCCAGCAGCCGCGGUAAUACAGAGGGUGCAAGCGUUAAUCGGAAUUACUGGGCGUAAAGCGAGCGUAGGUGGCUUGAUAAGUCAGAUGUGAAAUCCCCGGGCUUAACCUGGGAACUGCAUCUGAUACUGUUAGGCUAGAAUAGGUGAGAGGAAGGUAGAAUUCCAGGUGUAGCGGUGAAAUGCGUAGAGAUCUGGAGGAAUACCGAUGGCGAAGGCAGCCUUCUGGCAUCAUAUUGACACUGAGGUUCGAAAGCGUGGGUAGCAAACAGGAUUAGAUACCCUGGUAGUCCACGCCGUAAACGAUGUCUACUAGUCGUUGGGUCCCUUGAGGACUUAGUGACGCAGCUAACGCAAUAAGUAGACCGCCUGGGGAGUACGGCCGCAAGGUUAAAACUCAAAUGAAUUGACGG
rnacentral:rRNA from 1 species